rnacentral:rRNA from 1 species
ACGAACGCUGGCGGCGUGCUUAACACAUGCAAGUCGAACGGAAAGGCCCUGCUUGCAGGGUACUCGAGUGGCGAACGGGUGAGUAACACGUGGGUGAUCUGCCCUGCACUUCGGGAUAAGCCUGGGAAACUGGGUCUAAUACCGGAUAGGAGCCAUUUUUAGUGUGAUGGUUGGAAAGUUUUUUCGGUGUAGGAUGAGCUCGCGGCCUAUCAGCUUGUUGGUGGGGCAAUGGCCUACCAAGGCGGCGACGGGUAGCCGGCCUGAGAGGGUGGACGGCCACAUUGGGACUGAGAUACGGCCCAGACUCCUACGGGAGGCAGCAGUGGGGAAUAUUGCACAAUGGGCGCAAGCCUGAUGCAGCGACGCCGCGUGGGGGAUGACGGCCUUCGGGUUGUAAACUCCUUUCGCUAGGGACGAAGCUUUUUGUGACGGUACCUAGAUAAGAAGCACCGGCUAACUACGUG